rnacentral:lncRNA from 10 species
GGCGAGGGGUGCCCGGGAGGGGCGCGGCAGCGGGCAAGGUGCGGCAGGCGUCGCCCGCGGACGUCGGAGAAAGGCACCUGUUUCUCCCAGCUCCCGGGAGCCGUGCAGGACGUUUCGUGGACGCUCAGGUUCAUUCUCUUUGCCUGCCGCGCGUCCUCUGAGAGCAGCCCUGGAGCGGCUUCGUCGGGGAGAAAAGGCGCCGACCAACUUUCCCCGACUUGGGGGCGGGAUCCUGCCGGGCCCUAGCGGAGCGCGCCGCUGGGGAAGCACCUGCUCUCACUUUUCUCCCACUCGGAGGCCCAAAGAAGCUCCGGCUGGACAUUGCUGGAGCCAAUUAGGGACUGGCCGAAAUCCUAGAGGGACUGCCAGGUGGGACAGCCGAGGGGGAACUUCGCCGUGCGCUGAAAGGGAUUCCCCCUUAGGAAGGUGAAGUUAUUGAUGCAUUGAAGAAAAGGAC